rnacentral:rRNA from 1 species
AAUCAACGCUGGCGGCGUGCCUAACACAUGCAAGUCGAACGCGAAGACCCCGCAAGGGGUUGUUAGCGUGGCAAACGGGUGAGUAACGCGUGGGCGAUCUACCUUCGAGUGGGGGAUAACCUUCCGAAAGGAGGGCUAAUACCGCAUGACAUCCCGUGUUUGGAUACAUGGACAUCAAAGCCGGGGUCGCAAGACCUGGCGCUUGAAGAGGAGCCCGCGUCCGAUUAGCUAGNGGUGAGGUAACGGCUCACCAAGGCUCCGAUCGGUAUCCGGCCUGAGAGGGCGGACGGACACACUGGAACUGAGACACGGUCCAGACUCCUACGGGAGGCAGCAGUGGGGAAUUGUUCGCAAUGGGCGCAAGCCUGACGACGCAACGCCGCGUGGAGGAUGAAGACCU